UACGGAAGGGGCAAGCGUUGUUCGGAAUUACUGGGCGUAAAGAGCGCGUAGGCGGCUUACCAAGUUGGGGGUGAAAUCCCGGAGCUCAACUCCGGAACUGCCUUCAAAACUGGUAGGCUCGAGUCCGGAAGAGGGGCGUGGAAUUCCCAGUGUAGAGGUGGAAUUCGUAGAUAUUGGGAAGAACACCGGUGGCGAAGGCGACGCCCUGGUCCGGUACUGACGCUGAGGCGCGAAAGCGUGGGGAGCAAACAGG
rnacentral:rRNA from 1 species